ACGUCGUUGAUUAAUAGUUGGAAACUCGUAGAAGUUUUCUCAUGAAUAUACGUUUAAAAUAAGUAAACACUAAAAAUGUACACUGACAGUUGAUUACGAUACAUCUAACAAUUUGAGUCAUUACAGUUAAACAUGGAUUAUAAGUGAAUUAUACGCGUAAGAGAAGGUUUUCUGUUGAAAAAACUAAUGUCAACACUCAGCAUGGAACUGGGAUAUUCGUAUCAAAGGGCUAUUCAUGCAGGAAAAUGACUGAAUAUUACUAUUAUAUGAAGAAUUCCAGCCUGCAUUAAAUACUUUGUUGGAUCAUUGAGACAGAUUUGACAUCCAUGUCUAUCCACAAGGCAGUCACAUCUGAUAGAGAUGAUCACUAAACAUUCUAGAUGGGUAAAGAACCUGAAGGGGCAUGAAAACCAAAUCAGCAUUGACUCAGCAUUGAGUAAUUAUCAUUUGUGCACACACUACAAGUACAAACGCAUGGGAACAAACCAAACUUCAAAUGUUGAAGAGUGAAGAAUUAUUGUGAAAAAUUCUAAAUGUUAGAAUACCAUUGACUAAAUAAAACAAAUAGACAUCGAUUACCAACAGAGACUGUUUACAUGUUAUAAUAUUAAAAAGACAUUAGUUGAGAACUUUCACUCUGACAUUUUUGGAGGGGCAUUACCGCCUACUUAGUGUUCUUGUUUCUUUACAUAUUUUAAUUUACAUUUAAAAGUACAUUCAUUGUUUUUAAAUCUGAAUUCUGAGUUAGUAUCAUA